UCAGGUUUAGAUUAAAAUAGGUACAAGAGACACAUGGAUGAAUGAUGUAAUGUGCUAAUCUCACAUUAGUAUGGACAAAUAACUGUGGUUUCUGGGUAGAGAGAAAAACAGAACUUCGGUUUUGUUUUAUUCUGUAGUUGUUAAAGAUCAUCUUUAGUACCAUAGUGUGAUAUCACGGUCUUUAGGGGUUUGGCUAUAGGCCUCAUGGGGAGAGGGUUUCAAACAAAGGUUUAUGAGACAUUGUUCCAGUCAUUAAAAUGAAGUAACUUCCAAUGGGUUCUGUUGAUUAUGUACUGCAAAGUAGAAUGAUGGUGGUGGUGGCUGGGGAAAACAAGCACUAGCUGGAAAGCAGUGCAGAAGUGUCUUAGGGGUGGAUUUUGUUCCGUUGGUGCCUCUGGCAGCUCUCAUGUCCAUCAGUGGCAGGGAAGGGUUGUACUUCUGGUGUCCUUUGAUUUUCCUGUGCCACUGAAAAUACUAAUUGUGAGCUACAGGGAAGGAGAUAUGGAUGAAAGAUGGGCAGAUUUUGCCUGGCUUUCAUGGUAGGGGGCGGCAGCUGAAGGAUGCACUUGUGUUUAGAUCUGACAGCAGCUGUGGUAUCCAAUUCAAAUUCACUGUGGCAGGAAGAAAGAGUGUGAAUGCUAAAGUAUCCAAGGUGUUUGUAAAUACUCUGCUUUGCUAACCAUUCAAAUCUGGUUUGCAUAGAUUGCUGCAGUUGCCUGUAUAAAUGUAGAAUGACAUUUAUAAAAAAAUAAUGUGCAACCGGUGAUGAGUUUUCCUUCUAAAUGUUUUUUAAAACAGUACUGCACGAUUCAUUGGUAUUCAUAUAAAAUAGAGGAAGAGUGAUGAUUAAGAAGCAGCUUCUGACUACUGUGUAUUUCAGGGGAGAAAAUUAAUUGUGAUUUCAAAAACCUUCCUCCACGGCCACUGUCUUUCCAGCCAGCAAACUAUGACACAACCAAUGUUUGGAAUUAUCAUGGGAAGAGAUUUAUACAAAGGGGGAAAAAUGGCAUUUCUACCAGCAGAGAGGAUCCCAGGAACCAAUCAAGCUCCUGUGAGAGUCUCCAGAGUAAAAAAAAUUCCUAAUAAAAAAUGGAAUCCAUUUGCCAUAUGGAUUAUUUCCAUCUUAGGCAUGAUAUUUAGGUUUACUCUUCAAGGUGGCUCAUUUCCACUUUUUAUUCAAGCACCUGUAAUACUCAGUUGA
rnacentral:lncRNA from 1 species